rnacentral:lncRNA from 1 species
UAUGAACUGGGCCUAACAACUAAACUAAGCUCUCUGGUAGCACCGUUAGGCCCUCGGCGACUGAACCGUCGUAGCGAGCCGUUCCUUGCGGCUAGGUGCCAAUGAUUCUCCUCCCCACCGUAUGAGGAAACUGCUGAUCCGGCGGCGGAGUUAAACUCGCCGGAAGAUGUAUUCGGAGAAUAACUGAACACAGAGGACCGGAGCCGUGGGCCAUGCAAACCGUUGGUACUAUUCCAUUACUACACAGCCUACAGGAGCUACUCAUAUAAAGCAUUAAACUUUGGCAAAAAAGAGGCUCAAAAACAAAGCAAGCAGGAGACCAGUCGUUGGUCCAAAAAACAAAAAUACCCAUUUGCUGAUUUUGAGUUCCCCUCCCUUUGCUUUUUCAGCAUUCUCGAGGUUAGUCCUAAAGUUUGCAACUUUUCCUUUACUUAAAAAAACCCAAAACAUACAUUUUUUUUGAAAUAUUGUAAGAUAGUGAAAUCUUGAAUGUUGUUGAUGGAGAUUGUUUUGGUUUUUGAAUUUAAAUUAAUAAUAAUCUUAUUCCCAUGAGGGUUUUUUUGAUGUGACCAAUCAGAUCUUUGAUGUGGUCGGAGGG